CCAAGGAGUGUAACAAAUGCGCGAGUCACUCAGUCUUGAAUAGGCUCGAGAGGCGCAAUGAAAGUAAUGUUACGAUCGCUGAGUCUACGGACUUGGCGCGCAGUAACGGCCCUCCUAUUUCGCCUAUUUGUCGAUAUGGAGGAGCUAUAGCGCAUUCGUUGCGACCCGAAAGAUGGUGAACUAUUCUUGGGCAAGACGAAGUCGCAGGAAACUGCGAUGGAGGUCUGUAGCGAUUCUGACGUGCAAAUCGAUCGUCAGACCUGAGUAUAGGGGCGAAAGACUAAUCGAACCAUC
rnacentral:rRNA from 1 species